rnacentral:rRNA from 1 species
GACGAACGCUGGCGGCGUGCCUAAUACAUGCAAGUCGAACGCAGUGGGGACGGGUGAGUAACACGUGGGUAACCUCCCAUCAGAGGGGAUAACACUUGGAAACAGGUGCUAAACCGAUAUUGAUGGAUGGACCCGCGGUGCAUUAGCUAGUUGGUGGGGUAACGGCUCACCAAGGCCACGAUGCAUAGCCGGCCGGAGAGGGUGAUCAGCCACACUGGGACUGAGACACGGCCCAGACUCCUACGGGAGGCAGCAGUGGGGAAUAUUGGACAAUGGGCGAAAGUCUGAUCCAGCCACGCCGCGUGUGUGAAGAAGGUCUUCGGGUCGUAAAGCACUUUUGGUAGGGAGGCGUUACCUACAGAAAAAGCACCGGCUAACUACGUGCCAGCCGCCGCGGUAAUUC